rnacentral:other from 1 species
CUGUACCCGUUGUGAUAAGCAGAUCAUGUGUUUUUUGACCGAUACUUAUAAAGACGGAAUCUGGGAUUGAUCACUGUUGUGCAUGCUCAUCUUGAAUGAGAAGCCUGAUGCGAUAACUUAGAAUCCAACCUGGGGAAACAGGGUCUUAAAAAAACCUUAUCUGGCACAAUGGGUCUUUU